UACGGGGGGGGCAAGCGUUGUUCGGAAUUACUGGGCGUAAAGGGCGCGUAGGCGGCCUUCUAAGUCGGACGUGAAAUCCCUCGGCUUAACCGAGGAACUGCGUCCGAUACUGAAAGGCUUGAAUCCGGGAGAGGGAUGUGGAAUUCCAGGUGUAGCGGUGAAAUGCGUAGAUAUCUGGAGGAACACCCGUGGCGAAGGCGGUUCUCUGGGACGGUACUGACGCUGAGACGCGAAAGCGUGGGGAGCGAACAGG
rnacentral:rRNA from 1 species